rnacentral:lncRNA from 1 species
AUAUAACCACUGUCUCAAGGUAAUGCUAGCUUUCCAACACAUGCUUAUAUUCUAUCAGCACUUUUACUGGUCCCGAGCCCAUCCAUUCUCCUUUGCUUCUUUAAUGUGAAAUGUAACAUAUAAUUUGUCCUUUUUUUUUUUUUGAGACUGGGUCUCACUAUGUCCCCAAGUCUGGAGAGUAGUGACACUGUAACCUGGAACUCCUGGGCUCAAGCUGGAACUACAGAAGCUGACAGCAUGGCUGCCUUGUCAGAGCGCUUUCAUGCCAAGGAGCCAGGUGAGUGGGGAGGAAGAGUUUAAAGUCUGCUGGUUGCUCAGGCUACACUCUGGAGAUUCUGCACAGCCUCUCCCGGCCCAUUCAAGAGCAAGGCAAAAUCCAGCCAUUCAGGGACUGAGGAGUCCCUCACUCCCAGGGAAGCCAGUUAUUCUCCAAACUAGCAGUCAACCAGUCCCUCUCUGGUAAGUGCUUUUGUGCAUCUGCCCUAAAUGUCCUUGCUUGCUGGAUUGUGCAUCAGUAAUUAUAGUAAUUCCUGAAGAUGAAAAGCUCCUGGCCAUCUUGCUCUCCCUGCAGACUCAUGUCUUUAUCCAUAACCUGAAACUGUAAGACAGUCAUCUGAACUAUGAGCAACACUUUCAUGUAAAGAGUGUGUUCAAGCCCUUUAAAAUGGUUUUUUGAUUCAGUUCUCAGAAGUUGAAGAAUGGAAAGUGCCUACAGCUACAGUCCAAACCAGAAUUUUCAAGUACAGUGAAGGCGGGAAUGAUGGAAGUAGAGAGGCAUCCACUUGUCCUCCAGACCCACUUGAGGGGGAUCAUAUCGGAGCGGGAGAGUCAGUUCAGCCAAUGUUUGUGAAAAUAAUCCUUGGAGGGGUCUGAUCUUCCCACCAUGCUUCUUCUAAGAGAACCUUAUGAAAAACUCAACUUCCUACAAACUGGGCAGAUAGAGGCUGAUCAGCUGAGACACAAAGUGGCUUUGCCAUGUGUGACCCAUGGCCUGGCAGCACUGGAGCAGCUGUCCACUGCAGCAGGAGCCUUCUCUCCCUACAGUCACCAAUAAGGAUGACCUUUGGUCAAAAUCCAGGCUAGUGAUGACCUAUAGUGUGUGGAGUUGGCUGUGUUUUAACCUCAGUGGAAACAUACUGAAUUUCAAUGAGUAAAGGGGAGAGUAACAUCACACAAGCCAAGAGCCUGAGACCUUGUCUACCAGAGGGAGGGCACCUCCAUUACAGAGAGCAAAAUUCUCCCAUGGCCAG